AAAUCAAACAAGGAAACGGACUUUUUUUAACAACAAAAAACAGAGUACAAGACAAACAAUACAAGGAAUAUUCCCCUUCAUCAGCUGCCCCUGGUUCGACUCAAUGCGUGUUUCGAAGGUUAGGGCAGAACACGAUCCGGACGAAACAAUCCUUCCUGCAAAAUGAAUUAAAUAAAAUUCUUUUGCAGAGGUGUAGAAAAAAAAGGGAUAAGAACAGGAUGUAAAGCAAUACAAAUAAAUAAAAAUACAGUACACAUAAAGAAUAAAAACAGGACAAGGAAACCAACAAUAAGGGCUUUUUUAAGCCUAGAUGGUGGGAAAAUUCGUUGGAACGCAAUUCAGAAGAUCGACUUGCUGGAGACAAGAAGAAAGUCGAUGUUGACUUGUUGAAAGCAGCGGGCAGAAAGGAAGUUUAUUAGUCGGGUCAGCAGCCAGAGAGAGGAGGAGUGAGAGAGAGAGGAAAAGAUACCAGAAAGGGUGGAAAAUAAGGAGAGAGGCAGGUAGAAAGGAAGACAGACAGGCAGGAAGGAAAGGUCCCUGUCUGUAACGUAAAGACGGAUGAAAUACCUAUUUCUUCUACUACCCACAAGAGGCUAAACACAGAGAGGACAAACAAGGACAGACAAACGGAUUAAGUCGAUUAUAUCGACCCCAGUGCGUAACUGGUACAAAAAUAAACAUUAUUUUCCCUCUUACUGUUUUGUUUCGUUUUGAAAAAUAAGAAUUUAUUUUAUGGUCUGUUAUUAUUUAUAUUUAGAAUUACAUAAUCUUUUAUGGGAGCACUAAAAUCUGGCCGUUUCAUUCGUUCGGAAGUCGAUGGUCGCCCUGAACGAGGUUGAUCUUCAUGCGACUAGUGACCAUUCUUAAAGUGUGAAAAUCUCUCGUAGACUUGUGUUUUGCUCAUGGCAGCGUCCUUGUAAGCUGUUGGAAGCAUGACAACUGUUUCGUCCGUCGUGUGCCCCAGCAGAAAACAGAAUUUCACGGAUGCACGCCCUUCCUUCGUUUCAGCCAUCGUAGAAAUCGACGAACAGAGUUGAAGCACUGCAAAACAAAAGCGCACUACGUGGCAGUACGACCUCAGCCGACGACGCCGAUCGGCAGACUGAUGCCUGAGGGUUGCAUCAAGUGCCAAAGGGUUGAGAUGUGGGCUAGGAGAGAGUAAGAAGUCCACAGACCAGAAACCAGGAAGUUGGAUUUGCAGAAAUUUUCUACCUUCUGGGCAGUAUGGCUGAGAGCACCAUCCUGGGUCCACACAUAGUUGCCCUCUGGGUAAUUGUCAUUCAGCCAUGGCAAGACAUGGUACCUCAGCAUCUUGUAGUCAGCACCAACCUUUAAGGCCCUUUGAUUCUAGACCUUGCUUCCACACCUGAAACUUCUAGUUCUGGUAGUGACUAGUUUUGAAAGCCUGGACUACAAGAGGUUUGUCCGACCGAGAACACCUCCAGUUACUUUUGGGUACCUCUUCGAACAUAAGUGGGAAUAGAAAAGUUGGAGGCCAUCUUUUUUUCUGUCAUUAUAUACAUGUGAGUGUUUGUGUAUGGGUAUGUCUGUGUGUGUGUGUGUGUGAGAGAGAGAGAGAGAGAGAGAGAGUGUGUGUGUGUGUGUGAUGGUAGCAGACAUAGUCCAUCAGUUUUCAAAGAUGAGGACACGAGUUCGAUUUCAAUGAAUGGCGUCUUGGUCAAGUUUCUUUAACAUAGCCUCAGGUCCAACAAAGACAAUACAAGCGAGAGAAACUGGGAAAAGGUUCUGAAACCCGUCCAAAUAUAUACACCUGUUAUUGUAGUUAUAAUACACCCUUAUCAUACACUGUGUGUCAAGCUAUUUAUGCGUAGGAGUUGUGUUAGGGGUAGGUAUGUGUCUGAAGUACCCACAUUCACCAUCAUUACGGUUUAACGCGGGUACCCUGAAUUUUAAGAGGAAUUUGUUUAAUUUAUCGAAAAGGUGAAAAACUCAUCGUCGCCAUCGACGUAGGCUCUAUUUAUAUAUCUCCUAUUUAUUUAUUGUUAUUUAUUACAUAUAACAUAAAUUAUAUGCAAUAUGUAUAUCAUAUACGGGAGUGAGCGGGAGUUUUUCAUGCAUGUAUAUGAGUGCAUUUGCGAUGAGUGUGUGUGUAUGUAUAGUAUAUUUUAGUCAGCGCUCAAACUGUAUGUAUGUAUGUAUGUAUGUAUGUAUGUAUGUAUACACACACAUGUACACAUGCGUUAUAUAAGUUGUAUGUGUGUAUGCACACACAAGUGGAUUUAAAUAUACGUGAACACAUACUUUUAAAUAAACAUACACAGCUCACACAUAUGCAUAUAUACAUAUACAUUAAUACAUAAGUAUAUAUGUGUGUGUGUCCGUGUGUCCGUGUCUGUGUAUGUCUGCGUGUAUAAAUAAAUACAUACAUACAUACAUACAUACAUACAUACAUACAUACAUACAUACAUACAUACAUACAUAUAUAUAUUUAUGUAUGUAUAUAUGUAUGUAUGUAUGUAUGUAUGUAUGUAUGUAUGUA
rnacentral:lncRNA from 1 species